UAGCAUUUCGCAAAGAGUAAUGGUCUUUUUGAUUACUUUUAUGACUUGUGACUAUUUAAGGCCAGUCCUUUAGAUAUUGAGUUUUGAACGUGACAAAUAGAUGGCGUGAAAAAAUGUUGUUUGUUGUGUCACAUAUGGGCUAAUGGCGGUUCGUUGUCAAAAGUUCAGCUACAACUAUCUUCUUCGAAAAUUACCAAUGAAUUCGUUGGAAAAAAUGUGAAAGGUGCAUGAAGCCAGUACCGUCAACUAUUGUGUUAAAAAUCCUGGUAUCCUACAGAAUAUGUCAUCCAAAUGACAGAGUGGAUUCAUCACUAUUAUUGGCUGAAUCAUUCUAUGGGACUUGCCAGAUCGCCAACCCAAGCAUGGACCAAUUUCUCAUUCCAUCUUCUAGAGAACCUUACAUAACCGAUUGGUGGUUUAGCGUGUUUUAGGUUUCUAAUGUAGCAUGGUAGACUUUAUGAGAAGUCAUGUUGUUUGAAGAAAAAGGACUAUACAGUCGACAAGGUUCUUUGCUAACCUGUUGGCUGCUACCCUUGAAUCUCCCUGUUUACUUCCUUACACUGGUCCUCUUGAUUAAGGGGUAAUCCUUCGCUACUGAUCAUACACCCACUUGUGAAAACCGACGAGAGAAUGCUGUA
rnacentral:lncRNA from 1 species